rnacentral:misc_RNA from 1 species
GAUGAAGAACGUAGCGAAAUGCGAUACGUAAUGUGAAUUGCAGAAUUCAGUGAAUCAUCGAGUCUUUGAACGCACAUUGCGCCCCCUGGUAUUCCGGGGGGCAUGCCUGUCCGAGCGUCAUUGCUGCCCUCAAGCACGGCUUGUGUGUUGGGCCUCCGUCCUCCUCCCGGGGGACGGGCCCGAAAGGCAGCGGCGGCACCGCGUCCGGUCCUCGAGCGUAUGGGGCUUCGUCACCCGCUCUUGUAGGCCCGGCCGGCGCUUGCCGACACAUCAAUCUUUUUUCCAGGUUGACCUCGGAUCAGGUAAGGAUACCCGCUGAACUUAAGCAUAUCAAUAAGCGGAGGA